UACGGAGGGAGCUAGCGUUGUUCGGAAUUACUGGGCGUAAAGCGCGCGUAGGCGGCUUUGUAGGUUAGAGGUGAAAGCCCGGGGCUCAACCCCGGAACUGCCUUUAAGACUGCAUCGCUUGAAUCCGGGAGAGGUGAGUGGAAUUCCGAGUGUAGAGGUGAAAUUCGUAGAUAUUCGGAAGAACACCAGUGGCGAAGGCGGCUCACUGGACCGGCAUUGACGCUGAGGUGCGAAAGCGUGGGGAGCAAACAGG
rnacentral:rRNA from 1 species